rnacentral:rRNA from 1 species
UACGUAGGGUGCAAGCGUUGUCCGGAAUUAUUGGGCGUAAAGAGCUCGUAGGCGGCCUGUCGCGUCUGCUGUGAAAACUCAGGGCUUAACCCUGAGCUUGCAGUGGGUACGGGCAGACUGGAGUGCGGUAGGGGAGACUGGAAUUCCUGGUGUAGCGGUGAAAUGCGCAGAUAUCAGGAGGAACACCGGUGGCGAAGGCGGGUCUCUGGGCCGUAACUGACGCUGAGGAGCGAAAGCAUGGGGAGCGAACAGG